GUGGGGAAUCUUCCGCAAUGGACGAAAGUCUGACGGAGCGACGCCGCGUGAGUGAAGAAGGCCUUCGGGUCGUAAAGCUCUGUCAUCAGGGACGAAUGGCCGGUGGAGUGGAAAGCCACCGGAUUGACGGUACCUGAGAAGGAAGCCACGGCUAACUACGUGCCAGCAGCCGCGGUAAUACGUAGGUGGCAAGCGUUGUCCGGAAUUAUUGGGCGUAAAGCGCGCGCAGGUGGGAUCUUAAGUCCAUUUUGAAAGUUCGGAGCUCAACUCCGUGAUGGGAUGGAAACUGGGAUUCUUGAGUACCGGAGAGGAAAGCGGAAUUCCCCGUGUAGCGGUGAAAUGCGUAGAUAUGGGGAGGAACACCAGUGGCGAAGGCGGCUUUCUGGACGGUGUCUGACACUGAGGCGCGAAAGCCAGGGGAGCGAACGGGAUUAGAAACCCUGGUAGUCC
rnacentral:rRNA from 1 species